rnacentral:lncRNA from 1 species
AAGAGCUGGGGCCUUUGGGGCAUAAUUAGGUCAUGAGAGCCCCGCCUUCAUGAUGGAAUCAAUGCUUGUAUAAAAGGCCCAAAGUACCAUUUUCUGAAUGGGAAAGAAAAAACAAAUGAAUUAGUUAGACAAAAGGAGGCCCAAGGGAGCUUGUUUGCCCCUUCCCUCAUAUGAAAACAAAUAGAAGACACCAUCUAUAGGGAAGAGGACCCUCACCGGAUUGAGUAAUGAGCCUGUGCUUUGAUCUUGGACUACCCAGCCUCCAGAACUAUGGGAAUGACACCGUGACAGUCUUCAGAUGGCCUUUGGAAUAACAAUCAAACUGUAAGCAUAUUCCUCCUUAUUUGAUUAGCCAGAUUCACUUGAAUAUCUCCCUGGAAGCAAGUUACAUUUAAAGCCUAUUUCUGUAAGGCUAGCCUGCAGAUUUUUUUUUUUAAUUCUUAAAAAAAAUGAAGAAAAUAAUUUGACUCUCAAAUAGAAUGCUUUAAUUUGAAAAGUUUAUUUCGGUGAUCUCGUUUGUUAGGGAUACCCAAAGAGCAAUAUGUUACUGAGUAGUACACUUAGAUACACAGUACAUAGACUUUCUGCUGGGCGAAAAUUGGGGAAAAAAAGAAUGAGCUA